rnacentral:rRNA from 1 species
CGGCGAGUGAAGCGGCAACAGCUCAAAUUUGAAAUCUGGCUCUCGGGCCCGAGUUGUAAUUUGUAGAGGAUACUUUUGAUGCGGUGCCUUCCGAGUUCCCUGGAACGGGACGCCAUAGAGGGUGAGAGCCCCGUCUGGUUGGAUGCCAAAUCUCUGUAAAGUUCCUUCAACGAGUCGAGUAGUUUGGGAAUGCUGCUCUAAAUGGGAGGUAUAUGUCUUCUAAAGCUAAAUACCGGCCAGAGACCGAUAGCGCACAAGUAGAGUGAUCGAAAGAUGAAAAGCACUUUGAAAAGAGAGUUAAAAAGUACGUGAAAUUGUUGAAAGGGAAGCGUUUAUGACCAGACUUGGGCUUGGUUAAUCAUCUGGGGUUCUCCCCAGUGCACUUUUCCAGUCCAGGCCAGCAUCAGUUUUCCCCGGGGGAUAAAGGCGGCGGGAAUGUGGCUCUCUUCGGGGAGUGUUAUAGCCCACCGUGUAAUACCCUGGGGGGGACUGAGGUUCGCGCAUCUGCAAGGAUGCUGGCGUAAUGGUCAUCAACGACCCGUCUUGAAACACGGACCAAGGAGUCGUCUUCGUAUGCGAGUGUUCGGGUGUCAAACCCCUACGCGUAAUGAAAGUGAACGCAGGUGAGAGCUUCGGCGCAUCAUCGACCGAUCCUGAUGUU